rnacentral:rRNA from 1 species
UAGGGAAUCUUCCACAAUGGACGAAAGUCUGAUGGAGCAACGCCGCGUGAGUGGAGAAGGGUUUCGGCUCGUAAAACUCUGUUGUUAAAGAAGAACAUAUCUGAGAGUAACUGUUCAGGUAUUGACGGUAUUUAACCAGAAAGCCACGGCUAACUACGUGCCA